rnacentral:rRNA from 1 species
CCUACGGGAGGCAGCAGUGAGGAAUUUUGCGCAAUGGGCGAAAGCCUGACGCAGCGACGCCGCGUGGAGGAUGAAGGCCUUCGGGUUGUAAACUCCUGUUAGAGGGGAAGAAGCCCCGCAAGGGGUUGACGGUACCACCAGAGGAAGCCCCGGCUAACUACGUGCCAGCAGCCGCGGUAAUACGUAGGGGGCAAGCGUUGCUCGGAUUUACUGGGCGUAAAGGGCGUGUAGGCGGCCAGGCAAGUCAGGGGUGAAAUCCCUCGGCUCAACCGAGGUUCCGCGCCUGAAACUACUGGGCUGGAGUCUGGAAGAGGAGGGUGGAAUUCCCGGUGUAGCGGUAAAAUGCGUAGAGAUCGGGAGGAACACCGGUGGCGAAGGCGGCCCUCUGGUCCAGUACUGACGCUGAGGCGCGAAAGCUAGGGGAGCAAACGGGAUUAGAUCCCCCUGUAGU